UGUGUGUGUAUGUGUGUGUGUGUGUGUGUGUGUACGUACACACACACACACACACACACACACAAU